CCGUGGGAAACUGAAGCCGCAGAAAGCGGAUCGGCGGAUAAGAGGGGAAUACUGAAUAUAAGACUCUUGAGCUGUAAAGUGGAUUUCAAAAAGUCGAGCAGCAAACAAGUAACCAUCAGCUCCUGACCUCAGCCUCCAUAGACUCAUGUCUGAGACCUGAGGAGGCAAAACCUGAUGGAAGAAUUUUCUUAAGAAGCUCUGUGAGGCUGGAGGUAGGAGCCAUAAUGCCUGGGACCUGGUGAUCAAGUAGGACAACCAGGAGUUUGGAAAGAAAAGGAGACAUUCAAUGGAUAUGUGGAUAGUUCCCAGACCUAACAAUUUAAAACAUUAAACUUCCUUAAAAGCAAAUCCCAGAGUCCUCCUUCAUGCAGAACACCCACUGAAGUCAAGGGGCAUUACGUCCAAGAAGGGACAACAGUGUCAGACUCCAAAUGGAGAGCAUAUUCAGAACUUUCCAGAAAUGUCCUAUACUUGUAGCCAGAGGGCUGUGUUUCAAAGAGGUUGGCCUUACUGAUUUCCUUGGUGGAAGAAAGCUGUUGUCCAGGCUGCAGAGCAGGGAGAGGCACUCUGUCCGUUUCCAAAGCUCUGAAAAUCAGCAAGGAAUAGUGGUUUCCUCACACUGUGUUCCAUUCAGCUGCACUUGAAAAGCCAACUGUCGGAGUGCUGAGCCCAAGCCCAAGUGGACAAGAAUCCUUGCCUCUGUCAUACACUGGCAUUCAGAUAGAUAAGGAAGGAUGUUUGUAAACUACAGGCAACAUCACAGCACCACGUCGAUUAUGAAUGCAUCUUACCAGCACCCACCUCAACAGUAUUAAAAGGCCCUCAAUUCUGACAAGAAGAUACAAUUUUCAAAUACUUGGACGGCUA